UUGAUGUGUAGGAUAGGUGGGAGGCUUGGAAGUGUGGACGCCAGUCUGCAUGGAGCCGACCUUGAAAUACCACCCUUUAAUGUUUGAUGUUCUAACGUUGACCCGUAAUCCGGGUUGCGGACAGUGUCUGGUGGGUAGUUUGACUGGGGCGGUCUCCUCCUAAAGAGUAACGGAGGAGCACGAAGGUUGGCUAAUCCUGGUCGGACAUCAGGAGGUUAGUGCAAUGGCAUAAGCCAGCUUGACUGCGAGCGUGACGGCGCGAGCAGGUGCGAAAGCAGGUCAUAGUGAUCCGGUGGUUCUGAAUGGAAGGGCCAUCGCUCAACGGAUAAAAGGUACUCCGGGGAUAACAGGCUGAUACCGCCCAAGAGUUCAUAUCGACGGCGGUGUUUGGCACCUCGAUGUCGGCUCAUCACAUCCUGGGGCUGAAGUAGGUCCCAAGGGUAUGGCUGUUCGCCAUUUAAAGUGGUACGCGAGCUGGGUUUAGAACGUCGUGAGACAGUUCGGUCCCUAUCUGCCGUGGGCGCUGGAGAACUGAGGGGGGCUGCUCCUAGUACGAGAGGACCGGAGUGGACGCAUCACUGGUGUUCGGGUUGUCAUGCCAAUGGCACUGCCCGGUAGCUAAAUGCGGAAGAGAUAAGUGCUGAAAGCAUCUAAGCACGAAACUUGCCCCGAGAUGAGUUCUCCCUGACUCCUUGAGAGUCCUGAAGGAACGUUGAAGACGACGACGUUGAUAGGCCGGGUGUGUAAGCGCAGCGAUGCGUUGAGCUAACCGGUACUAAUGAACCGUGAGGCUUAACCUU
rnacentral:rRNA from 1 species